GUAAUGAGUCGCUCCACCGCGGCGCCCUUGGGCGACGAGGAAAGUCCGGGCAACGCAGAGCACCCUGCUUCCUAACGGGAAGGACGGAGAAGCGUAAAGCAACUUCGGACAGCCAGUGCCACAGAAAAUUACCGCCGUUCUUUGGCUGUUAGCUAGUAGUUGCUAGCUGUUAGCUCUCGUUGUAGAAAAGCUAACAGCUAAUAGCCAUCAGCCAAUAGCUCAAAAAAAGGUAAGGGUGAAAAGGUGCGGUAAGAGCGCACCAGCGGCCGGGUGACCGUGUCGGCUGGGUAAACCUCAGGGGUUGAAAGACCAAAUAAGCGGAUACGCUCCAGCCUUCGGGCUGGGGCACCGGGCGGCUCGUCCGGCGUCCGUGGGUAGGUUGAUGGAGCCUUUCCGCGAGGACUGGCCUAGAUAAAUGGUGGAGGCGCGGCAACGCGUACAAAACCCGGCUUACAGACUCAUUACCAGC
rnacentral:RNase_P_RNA from 3 species